CUUUUAGUUGUUAUUUGUGACUAUUUCUGAAGAUAUACAUUUCAUUGACAGUGAUUCGCAUUUUGCCGAAGAUCUAGUUAAAAGCUGUUAGCGUUGCCUUCCUGUUUAGCAGUAGGUUGUAAAUUUGGCCAGUUUUGCAUUUUCGGGUUCAAGCCUAUGAAAAAAAAACGUGUCAAGAAAUCGCCUUAGUUUAAUGUUCCACGGCCUGUCGCGACAGUUCUUCGAGCAAUACUGAAAUCCGUUCCUAGUGAAGUACUGAAUAUGACACACAAAAAAAUACAACUCUGCACCGCGGACCAGGUUAAUACACCUGAACCCCUUCCGGGUCUACGGACUAUUUAGCAGUGGUCCACUUCUCGUACUUAAACCGCACUAUUAAAUAACGGAUCUAGCCGGUUCGACCGUUGCUGCUGUUGCUUUUUCAGGUAUUAUGGAUAUAAAAUUUACGAUCACAAACUAAAUGUCUGUCACUCCAGCAGCAAUGACGUUAUACAGGCGAAUCUGAUGGGGGCGUGGUUGUGGCCCGCGUCACGUGGUUUCUUGUUUUGGUUCUUGUCCGAGUUCCGGGCUCGUGUCGCUGAUCCCCGGGCCGCUCGCAGUGCAUGGCUGCAGCAGCUGUGUCGACUGCCUGGCUUCGUAGCAUUUUCCGCCGCAGCGUACUGUCCCUUAGAUCCACCUCCACGGUCGACAUGAACCCCACGGGCUCGGCGGUGUGCCGCUCACUUCUGGAGCGCCUUCCAUUUCACAACUUGGCGCUGAGGAGGCUUCCGCUGGACCCUUCCUUGGAGCCAGGCGUGAGGGAAGUACGGGGCGCCUGCUUCUCCCGCGUUCAGACACAGCCGCUGCUCAGCCCCAGGUUCGUUGCAGUGUCCGAGCCCGCCCUGGCUCUGCUUGGGCUUAGCGUCCAGGACGUGCUGAGCGAUCCGCUCGCCCCGGAGUAUCUCAGCGGAUCCAAGAUCAUGCCAGGCUCCGAGCCGGCCGCUCAUUGCUACUGCGGACACCAGUUCGGCUCAUUCGCUGGACAGCUAGGCGACGGAGCUGCUUGCUACCUGGGCGAGGUGAAAGCCCCCGCGGAUCAAAGCGAAGAUCUGCUGCGCGAAAACCCCUCUGGCCGCUGGGAGAUUCAGGUGAAGGGCGCUGGGCCCACACCCUAUUCAAGACAAGCGGACGGCCGCAAGGUGCUGCGCUCCAGCAUCCGGGAGUUCCUGUGCAGCGAGGCAGUGUUCGCCCUGGGGAUUCCCACCACCCGUGCGGGCUCACUGGUCACCUCUGACCUCCAUGUACUGCGUGACGUCUUCUACGACGGGCGGGCCCGCCGGGAAAGGUGCUCUGUUGUCCUGCGUAUCGCCCCCACUUUCAUCCGAUUUGGGUCCUUCGAGAUCUUCAAGCCGGCGGAUGAGUUCACCGGUCGCCAGGGCCCGAGCGUUGGCCGGGAUGACAUCCGGGCCCAGCUCCUCGAUUACGUCAUUGAGACGUUUUACCCAGAAAUUCAGCAGAGCCACACAGACAGGGAGGCGCGAAAUGCUGCCUUCUUCAGAGAGGUGACACGGCGCACAGCCCGACUAGUGGCACAGUGGCAGUGUGUGGGCUUCUGUCAUGGCGUCCUCAACACAGACAACAUGAGCAUCUUGGGACUGACUCUAGAUUAUGGCCCCUUUGGAUUCAUGGACAGGUUCGACCCAGACUUUGUGUGCAACGCUUCUGACAACAUGGGUCGCUACUCCUACCAAGCUCAGCCGGCGGUGUGCCGCUGGAACCUGGCAUGCUUGGCUGAGGCCCUCGGACCCGAGCUGCCGGAGGGCCAGGCACAGGCCAUCCUGGAUGAAUACCUGCCCCUCUACAACACCUUCUACCUGGGCAACAUGCGGAGGAAGCUGGGCUUGCUGAGGAAGGAGGAGGCCGAGGAUGAGCUGCUUGUCACAGAGCUGCUGCAGACGAUGCACAAUACUGGCGCUGACUUUACCAACACGUUCCGCUCCUUGAGCCAGGUACCUUGUCCCAAGGAGGGAGAGGUAGAGGCUGAUGUCCUGGAGGCUGCAGUGAACCUCCUCCUGGAGCAGUGCGCCUCCCUGGAGGAGCUCAAGGCAGCGAACAAACCCACCAUGGACCAACGUGAACUGUUGAUGAUCUUGUCUUUAGCUGAGUCCAACCCAGCCAUCUUCCAGCUGUUGGCUGGCAAGAAGAUGGUUACCAGGCAGCUGGAAAAGCUUGCAAGGCUGAAGGAGCUCAUGGAUACCAACCAGGAGGUUCUGAGGUCCAAGCAGAGGGAGGAUUGGACUCGCUGGAUGAAACAGUACAGGAGGCGCCUUGCCCAGGAGUGCACUGGAUUGGAUGAUGUCCAUGCUGUGGAGGAGGAGAGGGUGCGGGUAAUGGACAGCACAAAUCCCCGGGUCGUGCUCAGAAACUACAUCGCCCAGAAUGCCAUCGAUGUGGCUGAAAGUGGUGACUUCUCAGAGGUCCAGCGGGUCCUCAAGGUUCUGAAGAAGCCUUUCUCUACUCAGCUGGACUUGGAAAAGCCCGGCCUGGUGGCCCAGGGUGGGAUGAUGGAGCAGGGAGAGAGGGAUGAGGGUGGGGCAGGGGAGGAAGGUCAAGGGGCCACCUCCAGACCGUUUGUAUGCUAUGACAGCAGGCCUCCAACCUGGGCCAGUGAAAUUUGUGUUACCUGAUCAUCAUAGUGCCUCUCUGACGAACACAUCACUUGACUGUGAAAACAGGGGAUGGUUUCUGGUUAAGAAUUGUCCCUAAGAACUAAUCUGAAAUCAGAUAAUCCAAUAGCCCCCAUUUUCACAGAUUCUUCAGGUGAAUUAAUGUCUAGGGAGGUCGUUUUUGGCGUAAGGGCUUCUGUUAGCCAUUCCAGACCACAAAGAUGGAGAGGGAAAAAUGAAUGUAAGGCCAGUGAGGAUGUUUCCUACCAAAAGUCAUGAGACGCCCAUCUGGUUGCAGGGAAAUGCAAAUUAUUUAUACUAUCAGUGCAAAACCAUUACAGACUUUAUCAUGGGUGAGUUUUAUUAAUAAGUUGGAGUGGAACAUGGUCCUUCCACCUUCCAAGAAUUAAUACAAGUCUUCAAUAAUACAUUUAAUCUGCAAUUUGGGCAGGAAGUAUGUUACUAAAUUCCUUUCAUGACCAGUUAUCUCCAUUGACUGGAACCGUAUUUGUGCAGGAAAAGCUGUACUAGCCAAACUACUUCUGUAUUUAUCAACUAUAUACAUACAAAUGAUCUCACCUGAAGUGCUGCUACUUCUAUUGCUAUAAACGUAAUAUCAAUAUGAAAAGCUUUUGGUGAGAUGUAGCCUGGCCUCAACCCCCCAUCUCCAUCAUUGUGUGUUGGUUUGGUUAGAAAUGAAGGCUCAGACACCAAGUCCUUUUGGGAUCUGUCUAGAGUCCGAGAACAGGAGUGCCCUUCUCCAGUUUCAGCACGCGCACGCGCUCGCACACACACACACACAAGAGUGUCUGAUCAGGAACUGCGUAGCUAAGAAGGCGUCCAUCCAGCAUCAUUCCUUUUUGGUGUUGAGCCUUUCCAGAAUGGUUUUGGUUACAGUUAUGUGAGCUCUGUCACUUUUCAGCAAAUAUUUUAAAAUCUUUGGUUUGGAUUGUAUUGUGUUUUGUAAUUCAAUAGGAGCUAUAGGACUUGUAGCACAAACGUCUUAGGCAGUCAAAGCAAGAAAGAAAGAAAGUCGAUCUUUGUGUUGUUGUCAACUGUCAAAGUUUGUUAGCUAGGCCAUUUCAACACCUUUGCUAACAGAAUAUCGGUAACUUUUUGGGUAACGCUGGGGCACUAGGAGGUGAGUUUUACAUGCACAGACGUUAACGGAUGGCAGGCUUAAGUGAACCAGGCAUUUCUGUCUGAGUGUGUUAACAUAAAAGAAGCAUGAAGGCAGCUGUAUCCACAUUCUACACUCAUGAUACAGACUAAGAGCUGCCCUUUGACAGGUAGGCGGUAGGUAAUACCCGCUCCUGCCGGAGGUAGGUAAUACCCGCUCCUGCCGGAGGUAGGUAAUACCCGCUCCUGCCGGAGGUAGGUAAUACCCGCUCCUGUCGGAUGUAGGUAAUACCCGCUCCUGUCGGAUGUAGGUAAUACCCGCUCCUAUCGGCAAACUUAAUCAUCAGCAUCCCCCGGCGCAAAUUUAAUCUGACUACGGCCAGAGCCGAAUAUCAAUAUUGGGGUUGAAACAUUUAAUUUCUUUGUACAAAAUUUAAAAAAAAUCAGUGGUGUCCCCCGUCCCGACUUCUUUCAAUGGCUACGAUUUUGGUGAAUGGGUGGGAUUUUUGCUUGUUCUAACCAGAAAACCUGCACUUAGACCUGCUCAGAUAAGUUUGGGCAUGCAGUGACAAUAUACUAAAAGUGAGCGAUGAUUCAUAGUACCCAAAGCUCAGAAGUUAGCCUCCAGAAACUUCACUAAGCCAGUUAACCGCUCUGUAGUACACUCUUCAGAAGAAAUGUGUUCAUUUUUAUACUUUAAAUUGUCAGCUGGUUAAUUUCCAUAUAUAUUCUAACUGUGGGGUUUUCUUUGAGCAAAUAUACAAUUACUACCUGGUUGAACAACUGUAAACAUUUUCUUUGACUGCCUAAGACUUUUGCACAGUACUUUACUCAAGUGCAAUAGGAAUUUUUUAAGGUUUUUUUUUUUUUUUUUGGCGGGGGGGGGAGGUAUUUGGGUUUUGCUGCGUGAUUGGCGGUUUCAGCUAUCUGCAGUUGCUGACACUGCAGGAAAAUGCAAGCUGAGUCACAUGUCCUCAAUGCCAGUUUUCAGUCACAGCUUUUAUUACCGAUAUAUUAAAGUAAUUUUCCUUUCCAAGUGACCUAACAUUUUUUUGCAUUUAAUAAGCUAUAUAGAAUUUGGUCUUAAAGUAAUUUUGAUACCAGAUCAUUUAUACAACUUUUGCAGCAAUCUUCAUAAAAUGAUGACAUUCAAGGGUCUAGUUUUAUAUUUUUAUGAAUCUUUCAGUAUAUGAAUUGCAGGAUGUGGUUGAAUAUUCUUUCAGAAAUGGUGAAUAAAGCACCUUUAAUAUGA